rnacentral:rRNA from 1 species
GGAUUAGAUACCCUAUUAUUUUGAAUGUAAAAUUAUCAGAAUUAGAGUAGUAUUAGUUAUGGUCUUGAAACUUAAAGAAUUUGGCGGUAUUUUAGUCUGUUUAGAGGAAUCUGUCCCUUAAUCGAUAAUCCACGUUGAACCUUACUUAAUUUGGGUAUGUAUACCGCCGUUGUUGAAAAUCUUUUUAGAGCUAAUUUCUUGAUUUUUUAUUAGUAAAUAUCUCAGGUCAAGGUGCAGCUUAUAGUUAAGUGGAGAUGGAUUACAAUAUUAUCAGGUAAACGGAUUUUUGAGCUAGAAUUGAAAUGAAGGUGGAUUUAAUUGUAAAUUUGUGAAGAUUUUCAAGUUGAUAUGAGCUCUAAAAUGUGUACACAUCGCCCGUCGCUCUCGUUAAUUAAGAUGAGAUAAGUC